UGAUGAGCUCAGAAGCUGCUGGAAGGAGAUGAAGAGAGAAGAGACAGGGACUAACAUUGUCUUCUGGAUCCAAUAUGCUGGAGCAAUGGAGCAGGUUUCCCUCUAAGGAGUCGCCUGUCUAACCUCCCGCCAGGAGGCCUCCCUGCUUUCCCAGCCACUGCUGCCAGCCAUGCCAAGCUGCUCUCCACCAAGCCACCAGCCAGGCAAGACUCUCAUCCCGAAGGUAUAGAGGUUCCUAAGGGAGGAAGAGAGGAUUUCCUUAAAAAGAAACAGAUUCUGUUUGGACGUGGUGGUAUACACCCAUGCACCAAGAAAAACCAGCACUCAAGAAACAGAGGCAGGAGGAUGAUGACUUUGAAGCCAUCUUGGACUACAAGAAACCCUACCUAAAAAAAUAAAAUAAAAUAAACAGUGGCAACCA